GUCACGUCGCGCGCACAUCUUGCAAAAGUUAACGGGUGUUGCGUCGUCAUGACACAGACUGUGAAAAAGAGAACAAAAGUCAUAAGUUACCGGUUUGGAAAGAAUAAAGGUAUCUGUUGACCUUUUUGAAAUGUUGCAACUAAGGUGUCUUCCAGUUUCACAACCGCCUACAGUAAAUAUACAGCACAUGUAAAAUCAGCGGAGGAGGCCUGAUACUGCAUGUGCUCUUAGUGCACGAGCAGCACAGUUAAAAAGGACCACAUGAAGGACUUAUGUGGCUCUAACAGAACUAGAAAACCUGCAGAAUGCGUCAUAUGAGUUCUCAUCUCUGCUUACAAAGAAAAAGCAGUUAUAGACCGUU